AUCCCAUCAGCAACCAGACUCAACAUCUGGACAUCACUCACCUCUGUCACACAUGUUCAGUCCACUGUUGUGGUCCUACUGAAGCUGUGAUAUGAUUGGUCCUCUCUGCUCUGGUGGGCGUGGCUACUGUCAUUAUUCUGGUUUGUGAAAUCAGAUCCAGAAGAGCUGAAGGAGAUCAAGCACAUAUUCACACAUCAGAUACAUGAUUGAUGAUGAUUUUGCAUAUAUUAAUAUUUGUGAGAUUUAUCUAUUAAUGGCUUUACUGGUUUUCAACUUUUUCAGGAAGUGCUUAAAUCUAAUGCAGAACAUUGAACUUUCUUUUCUUCAAUCAAGAUUCUUCCAUUUUUUUUGUUCUUCUAGUGUUUUGGUCAUAAAUACAGAUUUAAAAAACAAAUCUUAUUUGUAAGACUUUAUUGUAUAUAUUUCUCUCUGAUCAGUCCCGGCGCCAUGGGCGGGCAUUGGGGGCCCUGGCCCGCCCUGUGAGUCACUAGUGCCCGCCCUGGAUGAGUCGACAACUCCACGUCCCACCAACCACCAGUCCUUGCUUUUUUUAAUCAAUAGGCUACUGUCAUCAAAAGUUAUCGUUUUGUAUCAUAACUACCGGAUAAAAAUGUGUUUGAUCUGAUUUAAAAAAAUAAAAUAAAAUAAGAUAAAAUAAAA